rnacentral:rRNA from 1 species
GACGAACGCUGGCGGCGUGCUUAACACAUGCAAGUCGAACGGAAAGGCCCUGCUUGCAGGGUACUCGAGUGGCGAACGGGUGAGUAACACGUGGGUGAUCUGCCCUGCACUUCGGGAUAAGCCUGGGAAACUGGGUCUAAUACCGGAUAGGAGCCAUUUUUAGUGUGAUGGUUGGAAAGUUUUUUCGGUGUAGGAUGAGCUCGCGGCCUAUCAGCUUGUUGGUGGGUAAUGGCCUACCUAGGCGGCGACGGGUAGCCGGCCUGAGAGGGUGGACGGCCACAUUGGGACUGAGAUACGGCCCAGACUCCUACGGGAGGCAGCAGUGGGGAAUAUUGCACAAUGGGCGCAAGCCUGAUGCAGCGACGCCGCGUGGGGGAUGACGGCCUUCGGGUUGUAAACUCCUUUCGCUAGGGACGAAGCUUUUUGUGACGGUACCUAGAUAAGAAGCACCGGCUAACUACGUG